rnacentral:rRNA from 1 species
GAUGAACGCUGGCGGCGUGCCUAAUACAUGCAAGUCGAGCGAACAGACGAGGAGCUUGCUCCUCUGACGUUAGCGGCGGACGGGUGAGUAACACGUGGAUAACCUACCUAUAAGACUGGGAUAACUUCGGGAAACCGGAGCUAAUACCGGAUAAUAUAUUGAACCGCAUGGUUCAAUAGUGAAAGACGGUUUUGCUGUCACUAAUAGAUGGAUCCGCGCCGCAUUAGCUAGUUGGUAAGGUAACGGCUUACCAAGGCAACGAUGCGUAGCCGACCUGAGAGCGUGAUCGGCCACCCUGGAACUGAGACACGGUCCAGACUCCUACGGGAGGCCGCAGUAGGGACUCCUCCGCAAUGGGCGAGUGCCUGACGGAGCACCGCCGCGUGAGUGCUGAUGGUCUUCUGCUCGUAAAACUCUGUUAUUAGGGAAGAACAAAUGUGUAAGUAACUAUGCACGUCUUGACGGUACCUAGUCAGAAAGCCACGGCUAACUCCGUG